GCUCGAAAGUAUGGGUAGCAAACAGAUUAGAUACCUGGUAGUCCAUACCGUAAACGAUGAAUGCUAAGUGUUGGAGGGUUUCCCCCUUCAGUGCUGCAGCUAACGCAUUAAGCAUUCCGCCUGGGGAGUACGGCCGCAAGGCUGAAACUCAAAGGAAUUGACGGGGGCCCGCACAAGCGGUGGAGCAUGUGGUUUAAUUCGAAGCUACGCGAAGAACCUUACCAGGUCUUGACAUACUAUGCAAAUCUAAGAGAUUAGACGUUCCCUUCGGGGACAUGGAUACAGGUGGUGCAUGGUUGUCGUCAGCUCGUGUCGUGAGAUGUUGGGUUAAGUCCCGCAACGAGCGCAACCCUUAUUAUCAGUUGCCAGCAUUAAGUUGGGCACUCUGGUGAGACUGCCGGUGACAAACCGGAGGAAGGUGGGGAUGACGUCAAAUCAUCAUGCCCCUUAUGACCUGGGCUACACACGUGCUACAAUGGAUGGUACAACGAGUUGCGAACUCGCGAGAGUAAGCUAAUCUCUUAAAGCCAUUCUCAGUUCGGAUUGUAGGCUGCAACUCGCCUACAUGAAGUCGGAAUCGCUAGUAAUCGCGGAUCAGCAUGCCGCGGUGAAUACGUUCCCGGGCCUUGUACACACCGCCCGUCACACCAUGAGAGUUUGUAACACCCAAAGUCGGUGGGGUAACCUUUAGGAACCAGCCGCCUAAGGUGGGACAGAUGAUUAGGGUGAAGUCGUAACAAGGUAACCA
rnacentral:rRNA from 1 species